rnacentral:rRNA from 1 species
UACGUAGGGGGCUAGCGUUGUCCGGAAUCAUUGGGCGUAAAGCGCGCGUAGGCGGCCCGGUAAGUCCGCUGUAAAAGUCAAAGGCUCAACCUUUGAAUGUCAGUGGAUACUGCCGGGCUAGAGUGCGGAAGGGGCAACUGGAAUUCUCGGUGUAGCGGUGAAAUGCGUAGAUAUCGAGAGGAACACCUGCGGCGAAGGCGGGUUGCUGGGCCGACACUGACGCUGAUGCGCGAAGGCCAGGGGAGCGAACGGG